rnacentral:rRNA from 1 species
CCUACGGGAGGCAGCAGUGGGGAAUAUUGCACAAUGGGGGAAACCCUGAUGCAGCGAAGCCGCGUGAGUGAAGAAGUAUUUCGGUAUGUAAAGCUCUAUCAGCAGGGGAGAAAAUGACGGUACGUGAGUAAGAAGCCACGGCUAACUACGUGCCAGCAGCCGCGGUACUACGUAGGGUGCCAGCGUUAUCCGGAUUUACUGGGUGUAAAGGGAGCGUAGACGGCAGCAAGAGUCUGGAGUGAAAUGCCGGGGCUUAACCCCGGAACUGCUUUUGAAACUGUGCAGCUAGAGUGCAGGAGAGGUAAGUGGAAUGCGUAGUGUAGCGGUGAAAUGCGUAGAUAGUAGGAGGAACACCAGUGGCGAAGGCGGCUUACUGGACCGUAACUGACGUUGAGGCUCGAAAGCGUGGGGAGCGAACAGGAUUAGAUACCCUUGUAGUC